UACGGAAGGUGCAAGCGUUGUUCGGAUUGACUGGGCGUAAAGAGCACGUAGGCGGGCUUGUAAGUCGAUUGUGAAAUCCCCGGGCUUAACCUGGGAACUGCAGUCGAUACUGUGAGUCUUGAAUGUUGGAGAGGUUGGUAGAAUUCCAGGUGUAGAAGUGAAAUUCGUAGAGAUCUGGAGGAAUACCGGAGGCGAAGGCGGCCGACUGGCCAAACAUUGACGCUGAGGUGCGAAAGCGUGGGGAGCAAACAGG
rnacentral:rRNA from 1 species